UGGGGAAUAUUGCACAAUGGGCGCAAGCCUGAUGCAGCCAUGCCGCGUGUAUGAAGAAGGCCUUCGGGUUGUAAAGUACUUUCAGCGGGGAGGAAGGUGUUGAGGUUAAUAACCUCAGCAAUUGACGUUACCCGCAGAAGAAGCACCGGCUAACUCCGUGCCAGCAGCCGCGGUAAUACGGAGGGUGCAAGCGUUAAUCGGAAUUACUGGGCGUAAAGCGCACGCAGGCGGUCUGUCAAGUCGGAUGUGAAAUCCCCGGGCUCAACCUGGGAACUGCAUUCGAAACUGGCAGGCUAGAGUCUUGUAGAGGGGGGUAGAAUUCCAGGUGUAGCGGUGAAAUGCGUAGAGAUCUGGAGGAAUACCGGUGGCGAAGGCGGCCCCCUGGACAAAGACUGACGCUCAGGUGCGAAAGCGUGGGGAGCAAACAGG
rnacentral:rRNA from 3 species